AAGUCGUAACAAGGUUUCCGUAGGUGAACCUGCGGAAGGAUCAUUAGCGAGUAUGGCCCUCACGGGUCUAUCCAUUACAAACACAUUUGUGAACUAUUUCCAAGGGGGGUCGGGUCAGACGACGUAGGUAAAGGCCCCAAAGGGCCCCGAAGGCCGACUUAAGGCCAAGGCCGGAAAAGGGGCCUCCCCUUUUGUAAGGCCACGUCUUGAAGUAUUGAAAGUCAUGUUGAAUAAUCAAUAAAAA
rnacentral:misc_RNA from 1 species